GAUGAAGAACGUAGCGAAAUGCGAUAAGUAAUGUGAAUUGCAGAAUUCAGUGAAUCAUCGAAUCUUUGAACGCACCUUGCACCCUUUGGCAUUCCGAAGGGUAUGCUCGUUUGAGUGUCAUUGUACUCUCACACUUCCGAUCUUUGGAUUGGGAGCGGUGGACUUGGGUGUUGCUGCUUACUGUGGCUCACCUCAAAUCGAUUCGUGCACCUCUUGGUUGGACAUAGUACGGCGUGAUAAGUGUCUUCGCCGGCACCUCAGUAGAGGGUGGCUGAUCGGGAGCUCUGCUUCAAACCGUCCUCGGACAACAACUGACAACUUGACCUCAAAUCGAGUAGGACUACCCGCUGAACUUAAGCAUAUAAUAAGCGGAGGA
rnacentral:misc_RNA from 1 species